rnacentral:rRNA from 1 species
GUGCCAGCAGCCGCGGUAAUACGUAGGUGGCAAGCGUUGUCCGGAAUUAUUGGGCGUAAAGCGCGCGCAGGCGGUCUUUUAAGUCUGAUGUGAAAGCCCACGGCUCAACCGUGGAGGGUCAUUGGAAACUGGGAGACUUGAGUACAGAAGAGGAGAGUGGAAUUCCAUGUGUAGCGGUGAAAUGCGUAGAUAUAUGGAGGAACACCAGUGGCGAAGGCGACUCUCUGGUCUGUAACUGACGCUGAGGCGCGAAAGCGUGGGGAGCAAACAGGAUUAGAUACCCUGGUAGUCC